rnacentral:rRNA from 1 species
GACGAACGCUGGCGGCGUGCUUAACACAUGCAAGUCGAACGAAAAGAGGGAAAGAGCUUGCUCUUUCCGGAAUUGAGUGGCAAACGGGUGAGUAACACGUAAACAACCUGCCUUCAGGAUGGGGACAACAGACGGAAACGACUGCUAAUACCGAAUAAGUUCCAAGGGCCGCAUGGCCCAUGGAAGAAAAGGUGGCCUCUACCUGUAAGCUAUCGCCUGAAGAGGGGUUUGCGUCUGAUUAGCUGGUUGGAGGGGUAACGGCCCACCAAGGCGACGAUCAGGAGCCGGUCUGAGAGGAUGAACGGCCACACUGGAACUGAGACACGGUCCAGACUCCUACGGGAGGCAGCAGUGGGGAAUCUUCCGCAAUGGGCGAAAGCCUGACGGAGCAACGCCGCGUGAGUGAUGGCGGCCUUCGGGUUGUAAAACUCUGUGAUCCGGGACGAAAAGGCAGAGUGCGAAGAACAAACUGCAUUGACGGUACCGGAAAAGCAAGCCACGGCUAACUACGUG